AGUGAACGCUGGCGGUAGGCCUAACACAUGCAAGUCGAACGGCAGCACAGUAAGAGCUUGCUCUUACGGGUGGCGAGUGGCGGACGGGUGAGGAAUACAUCGGAAUCUACUUUUUCGUGGGGGAUAACGUAGGGAAACUUACGCUAAUACCGCAUACGACCUACGGGUGAAAGCAGGGCAUCUUCGGACCUUGCGCGAUUGAAUGAGCCGGUGUCGUAUUAGCUAGUUGGCGGGGUCAAGGCCCACUAGGGCAACGAUCCGUAGCUGGUCUGAGAGGAUGAUGACCUACAUUAGAAGUGAGACACGGUCCAGAAUCUUUCGGAAGGGAGCAGUGGUGAAUAUUUGCAAAUGGUCGCGAUCGUGAUCGAUGCAAACCACGUGGGUGACGAUAGCGUUGGUGUUGUAGAGCCUGUUUGUUGGGUAAGAAAUGCUGCAGGUUAAUUCGCUGCUGUUCUGACGGUCCACAAAGAAUAAGCACCGGCUAAUUUUGAG
rnacentral:rRNA from 1 species